rnacentral:rRNA from 1 species
GAUGAACGCUGGCGGCGUGCCUAAUACAUGCAAGUCGAGCGAACAGACGAGGAGCUUGCUCCUCGGACGUUAGCCGCGGACGGGAGAGUAACACGUGUAUAACCUACCUGUAUGACGGGGAUCACUACGGGACACCGGCGCUAAUACCGUAGAAUAUCUUGAACCGCAUGGUUCAAUGGUGAAUGACGGUUUUUCUGUCACGUAUAGAUGGAUCUGCGCCGCUUUAGCUGGUUGGUAGGGUAACGGCUUACCAAGGCAACGAGGCGUAGCCGACGUGAGGGGGUGGUAGGCGGCACUGGAAGUGAGACGCCGUCAAUAGUACUACGGGAGGGAGCAGUAGCGUAUGGUAGGCAGUGGGCGAAAGCCUGACGGAGUAACGCGGCGUGAGUGAUGAAGGUCUCCGGAUCGUAAAGCCCUGUUAUGAGGUAAGAACAAAUGUGGAAGUAACUAUGCACUUCUUGACGGUACUUGAUCAGAAAGCCACGGCUAACUACGUG